rnacentral:rRNA from 1 species
UACAGAGGGUGCGAGCGUUGUUCGGAAUUAUUGGGCGGAAAGGGCGCGUAGGCGGUGCGGUAAGUCACCUGUGAAAUCUCCUGGCUCAACUGGGAGCUUGCAGGCGAAACUGCCGUGCUGGAGUGUGGGAGAGGUGCGUGGAAUUCCUGGUGUAGCGGUGAAAUGCGUAGAUAUCAGGAGGAACACCUGUGGCGAAAGCGGCGCACUGGACCACAACUGACGCUGAGGCGCGAAAGCGUGGGGAGCGAACAGG